GGCUUUUUGAGUAUAAUUUAAGGUCGGGCCUGCCCAAUGAUUAAAUUAAAUGGCCGCGGUAUACUGACCGUGCAAAGGUAGCAUAAUCAUUAGUUUUUUAAUUGAAAGCUUGUAUGAAGGGUUUAAUGAGAAAAAUACUGUCUCUGUUUAAAUUUAUUAGAAUUUUAUAUUUAAGUUAAAAAGCUUAAAUAUAUAUUGAAGACGAGAAGACCCUAUAGAGUUUAAUACUUUAUUUGAUAAUUAGAUAUUAAGGAUUUUAAAGGUUGUUAUUUAAAGUAUUUGGUUGGGGUGACUAAAAAAUUGAUAAAACUUUUUUUAUAUUUUUACAUUGAUUAAUGAGUUGGUGAGCCUUUAUUUAAGAUUAAAAGAUAAAAUUACCUUAGGGAUAACAGCGUAAUUUUUUUUAGAGUUCUUAUCGAAGGAAAAGAUUGCGACCUCGAUGUUGGAUUAAAAUUAAUUAUUGGUGUAGAAGCUAAUAAAUUAGGUCUGUUCGACCUUUAAAUUUUUACAUGAUCUGAGUUUAAACCGGUGUAAG
rnacentral:rRNA from 1 species